rnacentral:rRNA from 1 species
AUACAGAGGGUGCAAGCGUUAUUCGGAAUUACUGGGCGUAAAGCGCGCGUAGGCGGAUGAUUAAGUCAGUUGUGAAAGCCCUGGGCUCAACCUAGGAACUGCAUCUGAUACUGGUCGUCUAGAGUUUAAGAGAGGGAAGUGGAAUUCCAGGUGUAGCAGUGAAAUGCGUAGAUAUCUGGAGGAACAUCAGUGGCGAAGGCGACUUCCUGGCUUAAAACUGACGCUGAGGUGCGAAAGCGUGGGGAGCGAACAGGAUUAGAUACCCUAGUAGUCC